AGGUGAUUUGUAUUCACCACCAUUAAGGGCAGUGCUCACCGCUCUGUCCUGCAGGCUGGCUGCACACCACAGGGAACUGCUCGUUGACCCCAAGCUUUCCUCUGCCCAAUUAUCCUGGUUAGCUUGCAGGCAGCCUCGGGAGCGGGGCAGGGAACAGGUCACACCGAGGGACUCGUCCUCCCGUGCCCCUGCCUGCCCUCAGGCUGGGGGCAGGUGCUGGGCAGGGGUGGCUCCUGGAGGGUGUCAGGUCACAGCAGCCUCAAAGCCAGUUGGGAAGAGGAAAGUUCCAGUCCUGGGACACCCCUUGAGCACCUGCACUGGAGCCCAACGCCUGCGAGACCUCAAGGGCCGGAGCUGUUCCAGUGCUGUGAUUCCCAUCCAGAAGCCCCAAAAGUGGACGUGGGGGUGAAACUGGGAGACCUGAGACCCGCUGCCACCCACGAGCACGCCUAAUUCCUAUUUUCCUCCAAGCCCAUCCCGAGCAUCUCCCUGUGCUGCCAGAGCAGAGAUUUGUUCUCCAUCUGGGAAUAUUGGUGCCUUCUGGAGCAGCCCUGAACUCUCCAUUAGACCAGUUGCUUUCUGAUUUGGAGGGGAGCAAAGAGUUAAAAUUUAUUCCAUCCACCUGUAUAUUUUCCCAAGCCUUCUGAUAGCAAUCAAGAAUGCAGGAAAUGGUGUAUUUAAGGGGUGAAUUUGCCAAAACUGUGCCACAAGUCAAACUUAUAAAGCAAAGUUUAUUUGUAAAGUUACAGAAGGCUGAAGUAUCUCCUGUUGAAGGGGCAAGUGCUGGAGCUCAUCAAGGCACAGAUCAGCCCUGCUGGGUUAUAGAGGGACCUUUGACUGUUGACUGGGAUCAUUUCAGCUCGUUUGGAGCCCUGUGAGGGACCUGACAGGG